UGCAGAAUCCCGUGAACCAUCGAGUCUUUGAACGCAAGUUGCGCCCGAAGCCGUCAGGCCAAGGGCACGUCUGCCUGGGUGUCACGCAUCGUCGCCCCAUCCAGCUCCUCUCAGAAACGGGAGGGGCGGGGUCGGACAUUGGCCUCCCGUGUGCGUACUGUAUGCGGCUGGCCAAAAUCCGGGGACCGGACGUUUAGUUUCCGACCAGCGGUGGUUGAACCUCAUGCUCGUGUCGGAUGCCUGCCGUCCAAGUGUCCCUACGGCUCUUCCGAGGCACCUCGGUGCCCUCUCUAAACGAGACCCCAGGUCAGGCGGGAUCACCCGCUGAGUUUAAGCAUAUCAAUAAGCGGAGGAAAAGAAACUAACAAGGAUUCCCCUAGUAACGGCGAGCGAACCGGGAGUAGCCCAGCUUGAAAAUCGGUCGCUUUCGGCGUCCGA
rnacentral:rRNA from 1 species